UUUCGUAGGUGAACCUGCGGAAGGAUCAUUAAUAAUUCUGACCAUAAUUGGUUAGAUACAAUAAUCAUCCUACCUAUGUGAAUUUGUUGUAUAAAUAAUUUUUUGAUAAAAAUAUUUGAUUUGUCUUUCCUGAUGUUAAGAGAGGUGUAAAAGACUUUCUUACUCAGGGAUAGAUUUUUCAAAUAAUUUUUGAGAAAGACUUUUUUAAAUAAAACUUUUGUAUUCAUUUGUCUAAAAAUUUUAUAAAUAUAUAAAAACAACUUUGACAAUGAUCUCUUGGUUCUCGCAACGAUGAAGAACGCAGCAAAAUGCGAUAAGUAGUGUGAAUUGCAGAAUACGUGAAUCAUCGAAUCUUCGAACGCAUAUUGCACUUUUUUAGUUUACUAAAAAGUAUGUCUGUUGGUAUCAGUAAAUAUUCUCAUAAAAAAUUUAUUUUUUAUGGUUUGAGUGUUUACAACGAUACAAGUUGUUCACUUUAAUUUUUUGAUAUUGGAAAUUUUUCAAUUUUUUAAAAUUGGAUAAAUUUUCCGUAAAAGGAAUAAACUUGACAAUUUUAAAAUAAAGAAAACAUUUCCACAAUAAAGGAAAAUUUAAAAUCAACUUGAUCUCAAAUCAGAUAAGAGUACCGCUGAACUUAAGCAUAUCAAUAAGCGAGGAAAGAAAUAACAAGAUUCCCUAGUAACGGCGAGUGAAGCGGAAGAGCUCAAAUUUGAAAUUUAAAGGGUUUCCUUACGAAUUGUAGUUUAAAGAAGUGUUUCUGUUGGAGUUCGGUAAAAGUUUUGAAUAGACAUCAUAGAGGGUGAGAAUCCGUAUUGACGUUACUUCCAGCUGUGUGAUACACUUUCAAAGAGUCGGAUUGUUUGGAAUGCAGUCCAAAUGGUGGUAAAUUUCAUCUAAGCUAAAUAUUGCGAGAGACCGAUAGCGAACAAGUACCGUGAGGAAAGAUGAAAAGAACUUUGAAAGAGAGUUAAACAGUACGUGAAAUUGUCAAAAGGAAGCGUUUGACACCAGUGUUGUUAGUUGAAAUCAAUUCAAUAGUUUUGAUUCUAAGUAGUAUUGACUUCAUCAGCUUGCUGCUUUCUUCUCAGAAUUAUUGAAUGCACUUUCAGUUACAAGUCAACAUCAAUUUCUUUGUUGUAAAGGUAGAGGAAGUGGCUUGCGCUUCGGCUCAAGUGUUUAUAGCUUUAUCUCUGCAAUCGAGAGAUUGAGUCUGCAGCGUAGAUCUUCGGGUUAGAUACAUUGUGCUAAGCUAUAGCUUGUAUAGACAACUUGUUGACUAGCUCAGUCAUGUAGCUUACUCGCUGAUGCUAUUUUACUACGCUUAGG
rnacentral:misc_RNA from 1 species